rnacentral:lncRNA from 1 species
CUAAAGUAUUCCUUGUUUUUCUCUCCAUGAAGAAGGAAAACCUAUUACUACAAUGACUGUGGUCCGUAUGUUUGGACACAGCCUUCUUUUAGUGGACGUCAAAGCCCUGUGCGAUCCUGAAAUGAAGACUAAUGGAAGUUAAAGCUGUGCAGCCUCUGGGUUUGACGUUUCCUGAGAUGACUGAGAGGUUCCGCUGCUUGUCUGUCAGCCACUCUUCUAAAGCCAAGCUGCUCAAUUGACCUGAACAUAGACAGACGGACGGACGGACAGCGUCUGGCAACCCAACUCUACUAAAAUGUAGAUCCAACUGCUCAGGGAGAAUCGGAGAAAGAGGCGGUCUAUGUGGAGUGACGUCAGUGGGUGGAAUUGCAACAUGGAGCCAAGGGCAGGACUGUGGGAGAAGAGUUCUCAAUGGAAAGAAAGCCAAUGAAUACUUUCAGAGAGAGACGUGGACGCUCCAAUUGAAAGUCAAGGACAGCAAUUCAGGAUAUUUACUCAAAUUUGGAAGGGACCCACUUUAACUCAUAUUUAAACACAAGAUUACUGACUAACUCGGAGUGGGAUUAUGUUUCUUGCUUUCGUUUUUUUUAGGAGAUGUCCCAUGAUUUCAUUUUGCACCAACAACUGGAGUCGAUGGGCGCCACUAAAGUGAAAAGUUGCUAACAGCUGUUUUAGUUAGUUGUAAUGCUAUUUAAGUGUUCCAGUCUACGGCUCUCGGGAUGAGUUCUCUUAAGGAGAAAGUUUUUAAAGCUAAGGCGUGAUCAAAUUUCCUGAAAUUAGAGUGUGUUAUCUUGGGAUGACUGCAGCUGUCUCUUGGUGGAGUAGGCAAAUUCUCAAUUAGAUCCGCGCUAUUGGCAACAAAGAACAUAUUUUCUCUAUCGCGGAAGUUUCGUUGUGUAACCCUGAAAAAUCGUUACAAUUACAAGUGAACAGUUGUUGGUUUUUUUUUCGGGAAGGCUGCAAAGACCUUAUGACGAAAUGGAAUUGUGAAUCGUGUCGUUUGACAAACAAAGGAUGUACAGACCCUCUCUCGGAUUGAUUGAUGCUGAACACAUACAUCGAAACCUUUGCAAGAAAUGGAGGAGGGAAUCCAAAUCCACAUUAUAGUGGACAAGAUGUUUGCAACAUGACUAAAACUGUCCGGGUAUUCUGAGGGACGUUUUGGCUCACCCUUAUUUCCAGAAAGAACCAGGCCAUUUUAUACUACACACACAAUUCCCAGCCUCCUGCGCUACUUGAUAUUAAUAUAUUAUUUUAUUUGCCAAUGCUACAGUAGCCUAAUUA